GGAGAUAUCAAAGAGUUGGGUAUUCUAAUACUAGGAGGCAGCGUCCGUUCUGCCUAGAGAGCAGAUGUGACUGUUUAGAACUCUUUGUUGAGCGAAUAAACUGGGGAGAAGGGCAAGGUUAAGUCCGACGCAUUUUCAGAUCCGCCACCAUUUACCUUAGGACCUGGAGAAAAGACUGUUUCAGUUAGCUAGCUUGAAGGCCUGCUUGGGAAGCAAGAUAGACAAGGAUUUUUUUUCCCCAUCCUCUAGCCUCACGCCUUAUUUUUCUUUCACAAUUCUGGCCAAAGAAAGCAGUAACUCAUAAUCAGAAGAGAAUUUAUCAUGAAGUUAAUUAAGCUGUGUACCUAAUUUUGUAUCUGUCAUCGUGUAUUCUUAAAAGAAGACUCCGACAUUGUAUAAGUUCUGGAUCUGAACAAAACCUGGAUAAACUCUGGUGCUUUAUUAACUUGAUGAAGAUUAGUGACACUGAGGAAUACUGAGGAACCAGGCUCUAUUCCACCCCAUCCCCUUCAUACACACCUCAUUCCAAAUGCUAUCCUGUCACAGCAGAUGCCACAUCACUUUUGGGGUGGGCUAAGAGAUCAAGGACAUAUGCCGUGCCCAAAUUUCAUCUAAUAAUUAAAAAUACGGGAAGUGACACAAAAGGGAAAACACAGGAUGCUCUGGAAACUUGUUAUAGGCAGCGAGUGGGAAGGAGACCUAGAGUCAGAGGAAGCUACUACUGGAAAGAGGAGCAGAACUGAGCCAGGCAAAUAGGAGAGAAAAUGUAUUUCAGGCAGAAGAAACAGCACUCUGGAAACCCAACAUCUAGCCUUUGAGAAUGUAAAAUGAAGCCAGGAUGACACUACCAAUUCCAAGCUGUGUGUGUGUGCAUGCAUGUGCAUGUAUGUGUAUAUAUAUUAGAUGUAUAUUUUAACAUUCUGACUUAACAUUAAUAUUAACAUAUUAAUAUUUAUUUAUUGAAAUAUUUAACGUGUAUUUUAAUAUUAAAUUCUGGAUUUCCAAACCAGAUCAGAAAUAGUCUUCACUCUGUUUUCAGUAGGUCAGAUCCCACAGGGCAAGAGGGGGAGGAGACAGCUCCCACUGUUUCUUGGCCUUACCUCCACCCCCAUCCCAAUUAAGGCACGUCCCCUUCCCUGCAGCUACCUCUCUAAAGAGCCCUCUCCUUUUAACACUGGUUCCCAGAUUUUCCCAUUUAUCUCACAGCAGCAGGAGUCACAGCUGGGUUCAAUCUCUGCACGCCACCAUCACCGCCCCUCCCCCAAAGUUGUAGAAAUGUUAUUCUAAAUUUAAACCACACAGCACCAAACUAAAAAUGGCUUUAAAAGAGGAUCAAACAUACCUUGUGCUGGGCUCUUGUUAGAUUUCACAGGCACGAAUUUCCCUUUUUCUCAGCAUAUGCAGUCAAAUGAUUCUUAGGUGAUGAAACAAGUAUCUCCAGGUUUGCAGGAAAUAAAAGUGUCUGUUUUUAAACUGCCAUGGGGAAGGGGAUGGAGGAGGGCAGAAAGAGUAGGGAGUGAAGUGCUGACUCGCAGGAUACAUCUGGGAUUCUGAGAAUGUCGCCCAGCUCCAAUGUUAGCGCAUGCCAGAUUCUUCCCCACCCCUUUCCUGAUCAAUGAGUUAGGAAAGUCAGAUGAACUAGGAGUCAGAAGGCCUGAGUACAAGUCCUGGUUAUGAGACAUUCCCCCAGUCCCCAGGUAAUUUUUCCUUCCCAAGCUUCAAUUCCCUCGUCCAUAACAUGAAGAGGCUGAACUUGAUCAGAGGUUCUCAAG
rnacentral:lncRNA from 1 species